ensembl:snRNA U6 U6 spliceosomal RNA
GUGCUUGCUUUAGCAGCACAUAUACUAAAAUGGGAAUGAUACAGAGAUGAUUAGCAUGGUCCUUGCACAAGGAUGACAUGCAGUAAUUGUUUACUGUUCUCUU